GGCCUACCAUGGUGGUAACGGGUAACGGGGUGUUAGGGCACGACACCGGAGAGGGAGCCUGAGAAACGGCUACCACAUCCAAGGAUGGCAGCAGGCGCGCAAAUUACCCAAUCCCGACACGGGGAGGUAGUGACAAUAAAUAACAAUACGGGGUCCUUUCGGGUUUCGUAAUUGGAAUGAGUACAAUUUAAAUCUCUUAACGAGGAACAAUUGGAGGGCAAGUCUGGUGCCAGCAGCCGCGGUAAUUCCAGCUCCAAUAGCGUAUAUUAAAGUUGUUGCAGUUAAAAAGCUCGUAGUUGAAUUUCGGGAUUAGUACGCUGGUCGUGCCUUCGGUACGUACUGGUGUUACUGAUUCCUACCUUCUGACGAACCAUCAUGUCAUUAAUUUGGUGUGGCGGGGAAUCAGGACUGUUACUUUGAAAAAAUUAGAGUGUUUAAAGCAGGCUCGCGCUUGAAUACAUUAGCAUGGAAUAAUGAGAUAGGACGUUGAUCCUAUUUUGUUGGUUUCUAGGAUUGACGUAAUGAUUAAUAGGGAUAGUUGGGGGCAUUAGUAUUCAAUUGUCAGAGGUGAAAUUCUUGGAUUUAUUGAAGACUAACUACUGCGAAAGCAUUUGCCAAGGAUGUUUUCAUUAAUCAAGAACGAAAGUUAGGGGAUCGAAGACGAUCAGAUACCGUCGUAGUCUUAACCAUAAACUAUGCCGACUAGGGAUCGGAUGAUGUUAAUUUUUAAUGACUCAUUCGGCGCCUUACG
rnacentral:rRNA from 1 species